UAGGGAAUCUUCCACAAUGGACGCAAGUCUGAUGGAGCAACGCCGCGUGAGUGAAGAAGGUUUUCGGAUCGUAAAGCUCUGUUGUUGGUGAAGAAGGAUAGAGGCAGUAACUGGUCUUAUUUGACGGUAAUCAACCAGAAAGUCACGGCUAACUACGUGCCAGCAGCCGCGGUAAUACGUAGGUGGCAAGCGUUGUCCGGAUUUAUUGGGCGUAAAGCGAGCGCAGGCGGAAUGAUAAGUCUGAUGUGAAAGCCCACGGCUCAACCGUGGAACUGCAUCGGAAACUGUCAUUCUUGAGUGCAGAAGAGGAGAGUGGAAUUCCAUGUGUAGCGGUGGAAUGCGUAGAUAUAUGGAAGAACACCAGUGGCGAAGGCGGCUCUCUGGUCUGCAACUGACGCUGAGGCUCGAAAGCAUGGGUAGCGAACAGG
rnacentral:rRNA from 1 species